rnacentral:rRNA from 1 species
UAGCGGCGAGUGAAGCGGCAAUAGCUCAAAUUUGAAAUCUGCCAACAGGCCGAGUUGUAAUUUGAAGAAAGCAAUUCUGGGUGUGUCUUUGCUCAAGUUCCUUGGAAUAGGACAUCAUGGAGGGUGAGAAUCCCGUGAUGCGAAGGUAGCACACCUGUGUAGAAUGUUUUCGACGAGUCGAGUUGUUUGGGAAUGCAGCUCAAAGUGGGUGGUAAAUUCCAUCUAAAGCUAAAUAUUGGCGAGAGACCGAUAGCGAACAAGUACUGUGAAGGAAAGAUGAAAAGAACUUUGAAAAGAGAGUGAAAAAGUACGUGAAAUUGUUGAAAUGGAAGGGCUUGAGAUUAGACAUGGUGUUUAGUGUUCCACUUUCUUUUGGGAAUGUGUACUCGCUUUUCACCGGGCCAGCAUCAGUUUUGAUGGAAGGAUAAAUAGUAUUGAAUGUGGCUGCUUGCAGUGUUAUAGCUUUACUAAAUACUUCC